UACGUAGGGGGCUAGCGUUGUCCGGAUUUAUUGGGCGUAAAGAGCGUGUAGGCGGCCAGGUAGGUCUGCUGUGAAAACUCGAGGCUCAACCUCGAGACGUCGGCGGAAACCAUCUGGCUAGAGUCCGGAAGAGGAGAGUGGAAUUCCUGGUGUGAGUGGUGAAAUGCGCAGAUAUCAGGAAGAACACCCGUGGCGAAGGCGGCUCUCGUGGGCCGUAACUGACGCUGAGGAGCGAAAGGCGUGGGGAGCGAACAGG
rnacentral:rRNA from 1 species